rnacentral:rRNA from 1 species
GAUGAACGCUGGCGGCGUGCCUAAUACAUGCAAGUCGAGCGAACAGACGAGGAGCUUGCUCCUCUGACGUUAGCGGCGGACGGGUGAGUAACACGUGGAUAACCUACCUAUAAGACUGGGAUAACUUCGGGAAACCGGAGCUAAUACCGGAUAAUAUAUUGAACCGCAUGGUUCAAUAGUGAAAGACGGUUUUGCUGUCACUUAUAGAUGGAUCCGCGCCGCAUUAGCUAGUUGGUAAGGUAACGGCUUACCAAGGCAACGAUGCGUAGCCGACCUGAGAGAGUGAUCGGCCACCCUGGAACUGAGACACGGUCCAGACUCCUACGGGAGGCAGCAGUAGGGAAUCGUCCGCAAUGGGCGAAAGCCUGACGGAACGACGCCGCGUGAGUGAUGAAGGUCUUCGGAUCGUAAAACUCUGUUAUUAGGGAAGAACAAAUGUGUAAGUAGCUAUGCACGUCUUGACGGUAACUGAUCAGAAAGCCACGGCUAACUACGUG